AAAUAUCUAAGGGAGAGGGAGAGAGAGAACCGUGAAAGAGAGAUAGAGAGGGAAAGAGGAUCAUCCAUGGAAGCUUGGAAAAUUGAAGAGAUUAAAGGGGAAAAAUAAGGAAUUAAGUUAAGGUCGAAACGAGGACACCGUCCCAUUGCUACCGGGAGCCGAUCACUUGGUACACAAACAUUUAUGACGAUUGGAAAUCAGUGUGAACUUAUAUGAACAUUGAAAGAUUUGCACACAUCGGUAUGACUUUGGAAUCCUUUUGUUCUGUCAAUAACAAAUAUUAACCCUCUAUUAUUUAUCAG